rnacentral:rRNA from 1 species
CCAGAAAAUUUAGCAGAGAUGCUUUAGUGCCUUCGGGAACUCUGAGACAGGUGCUGCAUGGCUGUCGUCAGCUCGUGUUGUGAAAUGUUGGUUAAGUCCCGCAACGAGCGCAACCCUUAUCCUUUGUUGCCAGCACGUAAUGGUGGGAACUCAAAGGAGACUGCCGGUGAUAAACCGGAGGAAGGUGGGGAUGACGUCAAGUCAUCAUGGCCCUUACGAGUAGGGCUACACACGUGCUACAAUGGCGCAUACAAAGAGAAGCGACCUCGCGAGAGCAAGCGGACCUCAUAAAGUGCGUCGUAGUCCGGAUUGGAGUCUGCAACUCGACUCCAUGAAGUCGGAAUCGCUAGUAAUCGUAAAUCAGAAUGUUACGGUGAAUACGUUCCCGGGCCUUGUACACACCGCCCGUCACACCAUGGGAGUGGGUUGCAAAAGAAGUAGAUAGCUUAACCUUCGGGAGGGCGUUUACCACUUUGUGAUUCAUGACUGGGGUGAAGUCGUAACAAGGUAGGCGUAGUGCU